UGGGGAAUUUUGGACAAUGGGGGAAACCCUGAUCCAGCCAUCCCGCGUGUGCGAUGAAGGCCUUCGGGUUGUAAAGCACUUUCGGCAGGAAAGAAACGUCGCGGGUUAAUACCCCGCGAAACUGACGGUACCUGCAGAAUAAGCACCGGCUAACUACGUGCCAGCAGCCGCGGUAAUACGUAGGGUGCAAGCGUUAAUCGGAAUUACUGGGCGUAAAGCGUGCGCAGGCGGUUCGGAAAGAAAGAUGUGAAAUCCCAGAGCUUAACUUUGGAACUGCAUUUUUAACUACCGGGCUAGAGUGUGUCAGAGGGAGGUGGAAUUCCGCGUGUAGCAGUGAAAUGCGUAGAUAUGCGGAGGAACACCGAUGGCGAAGGCAGCCUCCUGGGAUAACACUGACGCUCAUGCACGAAAGCGUGGGGAGCAAACAGGAUUAGAUACCCUGGUAGUCCACGCCCUAAACGAUGUCAACUAGCUGUUGGGGCCUUCGGGCCUUGGUAGCGCAGCUAACGCGUGAAGUUGACCGCCUGGGGAGU
rnacentral:rRNA from 1 species